GUGGGGAAUAUUGGACAAUGGGCGAAAGCCUGAUCCAGCCAUGCCGCGUGUGUGAAGAAGGUCUUCGGAUUGUAAAGCACUUUAAGUUGGGAGGAAGGGCAGUAAGUUAAUACCUUGCUGUUUUGACGUUACCGACAGAAUAAGCACCGGCUAACUUCGUGCCAGCAGCCGCGGUAAUACGAAGGGUGCAAGCGUUAAUCGGAAUUACUGGGCGUAAAGCGCGCGUAGGUGGUUUUGUAAGUUGGAGGUGAGAUCCCCGGGCUCAACCUGGGAACUGCCUCCAAAACUGCAUGACUAGAGUACGGUAGAGGGUAGUGGAAUUUCCUGUGUAGCGGUGAAAUGCGUAGAUAUAGGAAGGAACACCAGUGGCGAAGGCGACUACCUGGACUGAUACUGACACUGAGGUGCGAAAGCGUGGGGAGCAAACAGGAUUAGAUACCCCGGUAGUCC
rnacentral:rRNA from 1 species